GCCCCGUGAUGUAAUGUAUAUUUGCUACUCUUGAUGCAAAUCUGAUGACAAUUACACCAAUUGACUGAGGGC